rnacentral:lncRNA from 1 species
UUGGAUGGGCGGUGCGUUUACUUGCGGUUAGUGUAAAAACAGCGGUGGCGGUGAUAUUAGAUACUGUAGUGAUACUGUAGCGUGAGACAAAAAGUAAGCUCACCGCACCGCACCCAAUCGACCAUCCAAACCCACCUUUAGCAAUUCCAAAUCCAUCAAAAUAUCAACAUAUGUCGAACACAUUAAUAAAAUGUAUUGGUAAUUGCCCUGUCAUAUUGUCAUCACACCAUUAAUGGCAGAUAGCGGCACACUUUCA